rnacentral:lncRNA from 1 species
UGAUGAGCACAGAGCCUGCUGGAGAACAAGGCUGCUCCAAACUGAGGCCUAGCAUGUGACAGGACACUACCCAAGCCACCUCACAGACAAGUACUGACCCUCAACUGUCCUCCCCUGGAAUCGGUACCACUUUGAUUGGCCAGGAGUGAGGUGGCUCAGAUCAGCACUUACUGUCCUUGUGAGGAUCAAUAUUUUAUCUGUGCACUACCCACCACCCAGAGGUGCUCUGUGGGACCUUCCCUGGGCUGUCUCUGUCAUCUUCUGCUGAACUAUCCAGCCAACUUUCCCAAACUGCCUGUCUUUAUCUCCUCAUCUCCAGAAGACUGUGGGCAGCACACAGGUGUGAAGACCUACCAUUUCUGAGUUCUGUUUCCGAUUGUCAAGUGCAGAAGCGAGUCCUCCAACAGCCUGGGGAUCCUCAUAGGUGACCCUGAAGAAAAGCAGUGCAAAUGAGUUCCCUCCCAGUGGUGUGGAUGUGACUAGCUGCUUCAAGUUCCUGCCUUGACCUUCCUACAAUGGACUGUAACUUGGAAGUGUAAGCCAAAUAUACGUCAGUCUCCUAUGUUGCUUUUUUGUCAGGGUAAUUAUUACAGUUACGGAAAUGAAACUGGGACCGUGUGGCUGUAGCUGGAAAGCUAGAAGUGAGGCCCAAGUAGGCCAAGCUCUACACACUCUGAUGUGUAUGAGUGAGUGCCCGCCUCAGAAGACAAGGGAGCUCCAAGAACACUUACUCCAUUGCUGGCAUUCUGAACGGAUCGGCCGGACCUGUACCUCUCGAACCUAAUGGGAAAGAGAGCAGACAUAGGAGGAAGCUCCCAGGCUCCUCUCCCUGCUUUGUUUAUGAAUGAACUUCCUCUGAUACACCA